GCCCCCUUAGUUAAGUGGAUAUAACACAUCCCUCCUAAGGAUGAAUCACCUGUUCGACCCAGGUAGGGGGUGCCA
rnacentral:tRNA from 1 species